ensembl:lncRNA
AGAAUAUCGAAUGUUUGGGAAUUUGCUUUCAACGGCCUUACUAGCAGAGCACUCUACCAAAGAAAGCCAAGAAAUGCUGCUUCUUGGGCAACAUGUGAAGUGUUCCGGAUUUCCCCUAGAAGCCAGAUGAGCAUACCGAUGAGAACUACAUCCCUUCAGAAGGCAUCACCACCCUGGCUGUACUGAGGCUGCUUGCAUGAAUACACAGAGACAACAGAGCACUUGCAGAGCCCCUCAUUCCUGGAAUAGCCAUGCAGAAACAGCUCCCCUCACACUGAGCUGGAUGCUCUGGGAGGAGAUGCGAUGCCUGAUAACAGAAGGUCAUCGGGAAACAUGCCGCUGCCCAUGAACCAGCCUAAUCCCACAGUUUUAUGUUUCUCUGAACAGCCUAGACACAGAUGCAACCUUUGCUGUGAAGGGGUCAUGAUGCCAUGCCCUGCUUUACAGAGGAGUGCUCCCUGCAGCACGAGUGCUUGCUGGUUCAGUCUGUG